rnacentral:rRNA from 1 species
CAGCCAUACCACCCUGAACACACCCAAUCUCAUCUGAUCUCGGAAGCUAAGCAGGUGCAGGCCUGGUUAGUACUUGGAUGGGAGACUGAUUUGUAACAUACAAAAGUUCAACUGA